rnacentral:rRNA from 1 species
AGUGAACGCUGGCGGUAGGCCUAACACAUGCAAGUCGAACGGCAGCACAGUAAGAGCUUGCUCUUACGGGUGGCGAGUGGCGGACGAGUGAGGAAUACAUCGGAAUCUACUUUUUCGUGGGGGAUAACGUAGGGAAACUUACGCUAAUACCGCAUACGACCUACGGGUGAAAGCAGGGGAUCUUCGGACCUUGCGCGAUUGAAUGAGCCGAUGUCGGAUUAGCUAGUUGGCGGGGUAAAGGCCCACCAAGGCGACGAUCCGUGGCUGGUCUGAGAGGAUGAUCAGCCACACUGGAACUGAGACACGGUCCAGACUCCUACGGGAGGCAGCAGUGGGGAAUAUUGGACAAUGGGCGCAAGCCUGAUCCAGCCAUACCGCGUGGGUGAAGAAGGCCUUCGGGUUGUAAAGCCCUUUUGUUGGGAAAGAAAAGCAGCAGGUUAAUACCCCGCUGUUCUGACGGUACCCAAAGAAUAAGCACCGGCUAACUUCGUG